rnacentral:rRNA from 1 species
CACGUAGGGCGCGAGCGUUGUCCGGAAUUAUUGGGCGUAAAGAGCUCGUAGGUGGUUUGCUGCGUCCGCUGUGAAAACCCAAGGCUUAACCUUGGGCUUGCAGUGGAUACGGGCAGACUAGAGGUAGGUAGGGGAGAAUGGAAUUCCCGGUGUAGCGGUGAAAUGCGCAGAUAUCGGGAGGAACACCGGUGGCUAAGGCGGUUCUCUGGGCCUUACCUGACACUGAGGAGCGAAAGCGUGGGGAGCGAACAGG